UUUUUAAAUGAGAUCUUGUAUGAAUGGUUGAACAAAGGGAAAGCUGUCUUAAAAUUAAAAUUUGAAUUUUACUUUUAAGUGAGAAGGCUUAAAUAUUUUAGAAGGACGAUAAGACCCUAUAAAGCUUUACAUAAAGUUAUAUUUAAUUAAAUUUAUAAUUAUAAAAAUUUAAUAUAGUUUUUUGUUAUGUUGGGGAGAUAGAGGUAUAAUUUUUAGUAGCUGCUUAAAAAAUAAACAUUUAUUUAUGGUAAAAGUGGGUAAAAGAUCCUAAUUAUAGAUUUAAAGUUGAAGUUACUUUAGGGAUAACAGUAUAAUUUUUUUUGAGAGCCCAUAUCGAAAAGGGAGCUUGUAACCUCGAUGUUGGAUUAAAUAAUCUAUAUAAUGUAGU
rnacentral:rRNA from 1 species